rnacentral:rRNA from 1 species
CUUUUUGCUGACGAGUGGCGAACGGGUGCGUAACACGUAUGCAACCUACCUUUAUCAGAGGGAUAGCCCAAAGAAAUUUGGAUUAAUACCUCAUAAUAUUACGAAUUCGCAUGUUUUUGUAAUUAAAACUCCGGUGGAUAAAGAUGGGCAUGCGCAACAUUAGCUAGUUGGUAAGGUAACGGCUUACCAAGGCAACGAUGUUUAGGGGGUCUUAAAGGAUGGUCCCCCACACUGGUACUGAGACACGGUCCAG